UACAUGGGGUGCAAACGUUGCUCGGAAUUAUUGGGCGUAAAGCGCGCGUAGGCGGUUACUCAAGUCGGAUGUGAAAGCCCUCGGCUUAACUGAGGAAGUGCACCCCGAAAACUGAGUAGCUAGAGUACUAAAGAGGGUCGCGGAAUUCCCGGUGUAGAGGUGAAAUUCGUAGAUAUCGGGAGGAACACCGGUGGCGAAGGCGGCGACCUGGGUAGAUACGUGACGCUGAGGCGCGAAAAGCGUGGGGAGCAAACAGG
rnacentral:rRNA from 1 species